AUUGAACGCUAGCGGGAUGCUUUACACAUGCAAGUCGAACGGCAGCGCGAGAGAGCUUGCUCUCUUGGCGGCGAGUGGCGGACGGGUGAGUAAUAUAUCGGAACGUGCCCAGUAGCGGGGGAUAACUACUCGAAAGAGUGGCUAAUACCGCAUACGCCUACGGGGAAGGGGGGAGUCGCAAGACCUCUCACUAUUGGAGCGGCCGAUAUCGGAUUAGCUAGUUGGUGGGG
rnacentral:rRNA from 1 species